GACGAACGCUGGCGGCGUGCUUAACACAUGCAAGUCGAACGGUGAACUCCGCUUGCGGGGGGAUCAGUGGCGAACGGGUGAGUAACACGUGGGCAACCUGCCCUCAGCUCUGGGAUAACUCCAAGAAAUUGGGGCUAAUACCGGAUAUGACCGCUGACCGCAUGGUCUGGUGGUGGAAAGAUUUAUCGGCUGGGGAUGGGCCCGCGGCCUAUCAGCUUGUUGGUGGGGUAGUGGCCUACCAAGGCGACGACGGGUAGCCGGCCUGAGAGGGUGACCGGCCACACUGGGACUGAGACACGGCCCAGACUCCUACGGGAGGCAGCAGUGGGGAAUAUUGCGCAAUGGGCGAAAGCCUGACGCAGCGACGCCGCGUAGGGGAUGACGGCCUUCGGGUUGUAAACCUCUUUCAGCAGGGACGAAGCGAAAGUGACGGUACCUGCAGAAGAAGCACCGGCCAACUACGUG
rnacentral:rRNA from 1 species